rnacentral:rRNA from 1 species
UACGUAGGGUGCGAGCGUUAUUCGGAAUUACUGGGCGUAAAGCGUGCGCAGGCGGUUUUGUAAGUCAGAUGUGAAAGCCCCGGGCUCAACCUGGGAAUGGCAUUUGGGACUGCAAGGCUUGAGUGCGGCAGAGGAGACUAGAAUUCCUGGUGUAGCAGUGAAAUGCGUAGAUAUCAGGAGGAAUACCGAUGGCGAAGGCAGGUCUCUGGGCUGACACUGACGCUCAUGCACGAAAGCGUGGGGAGCAAACAGG